AAUAGAUACCCGGGUAGUCCACGCCGUAAACGAUGAGUGCUAAGUGUUAGAGGGUUUCCGCCCUUUAGUGCUGCAGCUAACGCAUUAAGCACUCCGCCUGGGGAGUACGGCCGCAAGGCUGAAACCCAAAGGAAUUGACGGGGGCCCGCACAAGCGGUGGAGCAUGUGGUUUAAUUCGAAGCAACGCGAAGAACCUUACCAGGUCUUGACAUCCUCUGCCAACCCUAGAGAUAGGGCGUUCCCCUUCGGGGGACAGAGUGACAGGUGGUGCAUGGUUGUCGUCAGCUCGUGUCGUGAGAUGUUGGGUUAAGUCCCGCAACGAGCGCAACCCUUGAUCUUAGUUGCCAGCAUUUAGUUGGGCACUCUAAGGUGACUGCCGGUGACAAACCGGAGGAAGGUGGGGAUGACGUCAAAUCAUCAUGCCCCUUAUGACCUGGGCUACACACGUGCUACAAUGGAUGGUACAAAGAGCUGCGAAUCCGCGAGGGUAAGCGAAUCUCAUAAAGCCAUUCUCAGUUCGGA
rnacentral:rRNA from 1 species